rnacentral:lncRNA from 1 species
CGGUCAAGUGGUUCAACGACACCAAGGGGUUCGGCUUCAUCUCCCCCGACGACGGCAGCGAGGACCUCUUCGUGCACCAGUCCUCCAUCAAGGCCGACGGCUUCCGCUCGCUGGCCGAGGGCGAGGUGGUCGAGUUCGCCGUCUCGGAGGGCGACGACGGCCGCACCAAGGCCGUCGACGUCACCGGCCCCGACGGAUCCUUCGUGCAGGGCGGCGCGGGCGGCGGCGGGGGCGGCUUCGGAUCCCGCGGCGGCGGCGGAUCUCGCGGCGGCGGGGGCUUCGGCGGCCGCGGCGGGGACGGAUCUGGCGGGUACGGAGGUGGGUAUGGCGGUGGUGGCAGCGGCGGCUGGGGCGGCCAGAGGAGAUCCGGCGGUGGAGGCGCCGGUGGGGCCUGCUUCAAGUGCGGGGAGCCUGGCCACAUGGCCAGGGACUGCUCGGUCAACGGCCCCGCUGGUGGCGGCGGCGGCGGCGGCUGCUACAAGUGCGGCGAGCAAGGCCACAUCGCCAGGGACUGCUUCAACGGCGGCGCCGGCGGAGGAGGCGGCGGCUACGGCGGCGGCGGCGGCGGUAACUGCUACAGCUGCGGCGAGCCGGGCCACAUCGCGAGGGACUGCCCCACCAGCAGCGGCUUUGGCGGGGGCGGCGGCGGGAGGUUCGGCGGAGGAGGCGGCGGCGGCGGCGACCGCACCUGCUACCACUGCGGCGAGACCGGCCACAUCUCCCGCGACUGCACCAAGUGAGGGGAUAUCUCUGCCCCUCCCCCUCUAUAGAUUGCGCCUAAAUACCUCUCGUCUUAGUUUUGCCGAUCGAUCGAUCUGGGCCUGAGCGCCCAGCCGCAGCCGCCUCGCUUAUUUUAUCUUCCUCCCCCCUUCCGUUCUCGGAAUCCGUCCUAGGGGAAAGUCAGUCAGUCAGUCAGUCCGUGUGAUGGUUAAUUUUGCUAUGAAUUGGUCCUCUGGUACCCGUACCCGUACUCUCAGUUGAUGUCUAAGGUCGUGAUGAUGAUGGAUUAUUGGUGAUUUUUGUGUGGUGAUGAUGAGGAGAUUGCAACACAUCUCUGUUUUUUGGUUUCAUCGAUGAAGUAAAAGAUGCCGGUCGUUAUUAUCAUCCUCCAUGAGUGAAUGAAUGAAUUCUCUCUUGUCAGAUCAGAUCUCUGCUCUAGUGGUAGAACUAUUACCUCUGUCUGACAUCCUGUUUGUUAAUUGAUUAUGAUUAUGUUAAAGUAGAGUUUG